AGUCAAGUAAUUAAGUGCAUGUGGUGGAUGCCUUGGCAGUCAGAGGCGAUGAAAGACGUGAUAGCCUGCGAAAAGCUCCGGGGAGGCGGCAAAUAUCCUUUGAUCCGGAGAUGUCUGAAUGGGGGAACCCACCUACUUUAAGGUAGGUAUUGCAACAUGAAUACAUAGUGUUGCAAGGCGAACGAGGGGAAGUGAAACAUCUCAGUACCCUUAGGAAAAGAAAUCAAUUGAGAUUCCCUCAGUAGCGGCGAGCGAACGGGGAUCAGCCCAUUAAGUUAUGUGUGUUUUAGUGGAACGCUCUGGGAAGUGCGAACGUAGAGGGUGAUAUUCCCGUACACGAAAGGGCACACAUAAUGAUGACGAGUAGGGCGAGGCACGUGAAACCUUGUCUGAAUAUGGGGGGACCAUCCUCCAAGGCUAAAUACUCCUGACUGACCGAUAGUGAACCAGUACCGUGAGGGAAAGGCGAAAAGAACCCCUGUGAGGGGAGUGAAAUAGAUCCUGAAACCGCAUGCAUACAAGCAGUGGGAGCACCUUCGUGGUGUGACUGCGUACCUUUUGUAUAAUGGGUCAGCGACUUAUAUUCAGUAGCGAGGUUAACCGUAUAGGGGAGCCGUAGAGAAAUCGAGUCUUAAUAGGGCGUUUAGUUGCUGGGUAUAGACCCGAAACCAGGCGAUCUAUCCAUGAGCAGGUUGAAGGUUGGGUAACACUAACUGGAGGACCGAACCCACUGUCGUUGAAAAGCCAGGGGAUGACUUGUGGAUAGGGGUGAAAGGCUAAUCAAGCCUGGUGAUAGCUGGUUCUCCCCGAAAGCUAUUUAGGUAGUGCCUCGGACGAAUACCAUAGGGGGUAGAGCACUGUUUCGGCUAGGGGGUCAUCCCGACUUACCAAACCGAUGCAAACUCCGAAUACCUAUGAGUACUAUCCGGGAGACAGACUGCGGGUGCUAACGUCCGUAGUCAAGAGGAAAACAAUCCAGACCGCCAGCUAAGGCCCCAAAAUCAUAGUUAAGUGGGAAACGAUGUGGGAAGGCAUAGACAGCUAGGAGGUUGGCUUAGAAGCAGCCACCCUUUAAAGAAAGCGUAAUAGCUCACUAGUCGAGUCGGCCUGCGCGGAAGAUGUAACGGGGCUAAAACUAUGUGCCGAAGCUGCGGAUGUAUACUUUGUAUACGUGGUAGGGGAGCGUUCUGUAAGCCGAUGAAGGUGUGUUGAGAAGCAUGCUGGAGGUAUCAGAAGUGCGAAUGCUGACGUGAGUAACGACAAAACGGGUGAAAAACCCGUUCGCCGAAAGACCAAGGGUUCCAGUCCAACGUUAAUCGGGGCUGGGUGAGUCGACCCCUAAGGCGAGGCCGAAAGGCGUAGUCGAUGGGAAAAUGGUUAAUAUUCCAUUACUUCUGUGUAAUGCGAUGAGAGGACGGAGAAGGCUAAAUCAGCCUGGCGUUGGUUGUCCAGGUGAAAGGAUGUAGGCAUGUAUCUUAGGCAAAUCCGGGGUACUCUAUGCUGAGAUCUGAUAGCAAGCUGUACUUGUACAGCGAAGUGGUUGAUGCCAUGCUUCCAGGAAAAGUCUCUAAGCUUCAGUUACACAGGAAUCGUACCCGAAACCGACACAGGUGGUCAGGUCGAGUAGACCAAGGCGCUUGAGAGAACUCUGCUGAAGGAACUAGGCAAAAUGGUACCGUAACUUCGGGAGAAGGUACGCUGUUGUUGGUGAUGGAACUCGCUUCCUGAGCUGACGACAGCCGCAGAAACCAGGCCGCUGCAACUGUUUAUUAAAAACAUAGCACUCUGCAAACACGAAAGUGGACGUAUAGGGUGUGAUGCCUGCCCGGUGCUGGAAGGUUAAUUGAUGGGGUUAGCGUAAGCGAAGCUCUUGAUCGAAGCCCCAGUAAACGGCGGCCGUAACUAUAACGGUCCUAAGGUAGCGAAAUUCCUUGUCGGGUAAGUUCCGACCUGCACGAAUGGCAUAAUGAUGGCGGCGCUGUCUCCAGCAGAGGCUCAGUGAAAUCGAAAUCGCUGUGAAGAUGCAGUGUACCCGCGGCUAGACGGAAAGACCCCGUGAACCUUUACUGCAGCUUGACACUGAACUUUGACCUUACUUGUGUAGGAUAGGUGGGAGGCUUUGAAGCUGGAACGCUAGUUCCAGUGGAGCCGUCCUUGAAAUACCACCCUGGUAAUGUUGAGGUUCUAACUCUGUCCCGUGAUCCGGGACGAGGACCGUGUCUGGUGGGUAGUUUGACUGGGGCGGUCUCCUCCUAAAGAGUAACGGAGGAGUACGAAGGUGCGCUCAGCGUGGUCGGAAAUCACGCGUAGAGUAUAAAGGCAAAAGCGCGCUUAACUGCGAGACCCACAAGUCGAGCAGGUACGAAAGUAGGUCUUAGUGAUCCGGUGGUUCUGUAUGGAAGGGCCAUCGCUCAACGGAUAAAAGGUACUCUGGGGAUAACAGGCUGAUACCGCCCAAGAGUUCAUAUCGACGGCGGUGUUUGGCACCUCGAUGUCGGCUCAUCUCAUCCUGGGGCUGAAGCAGGUCCCAAGGGUAUGGCUGUUCGCCAUUUAAAGAGGUACGCGAGCUGGGUUUAGAACGUCGUGAGACAGUUCGGUCCCUAUCUACCGUGGGCGCUGGAAAUUUGAGAGGAUCUGCUCCUAGUACGAGAGGACCAGAGUGGACGAACCUCUGGUGUACCGGUUGUGACGCCAGUCGCAUCGCCGGGUAGCUAUGUUCGGAAGGGAUAACCGCUGAAAGCAUCUAAGCGGGAAGCCUACCUCAAGAUAAGAUUUCCCUAGGACUUUAUGUCCUCUAAAGAGCCGUUCGAGACUAGGACGUUGAUAGGUUGGAUGUGGAAGCAUAGUGAUAUGUGAAGCUGACCAAUACUAAUUGCUCGUGAGGCUUGACUAU
rnacentral:rRNA from 1 species